rnacentral:piRNA from 1 species
GGACAAAGUACAAAGGCACUUGGGUUUUGC